rnacentral:rRNA from 1 species
UGCGGGGGGGGCAAGCGUUGUUCGGAAUUACUGGGCGUAAAGGGCUCGUAGGUGGCCAACUAAGUCAGACGUGAAAUCCCUCGGCUUAACCGGGGAACUGCGUCUGAUACUGGAUGGCUUGAGUUCGGGAGAGGGAUGCGGAAUUCCAGGUGUAGCGGUGAAAUGCGUAGAUAUCUGGAGGAACACCGGUGGCGAAGGCGGCAUCCUGGACCGACACUGACACUGAGGAGCGAAAGCCAGGGGAGCAAACGGG